rnacentral:rRNA from 1 species
GUCUAAGUUCCUUGGAACAGGACGUCAUAGAGGGUGAGAAUCCCGUAUGUGACUGGAAAUGUUAACCUAUGUAAAGCUCCUUCGACGAGUCGAGUUGUUUGGGAAUGCAGCUCUAAAUGGGAGGUAAAUUUCUUCUAAAGCUAAAUAUUGGCGAGAGACCGAUAGCGCACAAGUAGAGUGAUCGAAAGAUGAAAAGCACUUUGGAAAGAGAGUUAAAAAGCACGUGAAAUUGUUGAAAGGGAAGCGCUUGCAAUCAGACUUGUUUAAACUGUUCGGCCGGUCUUCUGACCGGUUUACUCAGUUUGGACAGGCCAGCAUCAGUUUCGGCGGCCGGAUAAAGGCUCUGGGAAUGUGGCCUCCACUUCGGUGGAGGUGUUAUAGCCCAGUGUGUAAUACGGCCAGCCGGGACUGAGGUCCGCGCUUCGGCUAGGAUGCUGGCGUAAUGGUUGUAAGCGACCCGUCUUGAAACACGGACCAAGGAGUCUAACAUCUAUGCGAGUGUUCGGGUGUCAAACCCCUGCGCGUAAUGAAAGUGAACGGAGGUGGGAACCCCAAGGUGCACCAUCGACCGAUCCUGAUGUCUUCGGAUGGAUUUGAGUAAGAGCAUAGCUGUUGGGACCCGAAAGAUGGUGAACUAUGCCUGAAUAGGGUGAAGCCAGAGGAAACUCUGGUGGAGGCUCGCAGCGGUUCUGACGUGCAAAUCGAUCGUCAAAUUUGGGUAUAGGGGCGAAAG